rnacentral:lncRNA from 1 species
ACGAGGAGGCGUAAAGAAAGCCAUUGUGAGUUUCCUUCUACUACUUGGAGCGAUGUUUAUAACACGUACAGUACGAAGCUCAGAACUGAGGAAUAUACCGUGUCUCAACCUCAUCGGGAAGAAAGGAGCGGAUCCAUAAGAUCUAAAAUAGAAAAAAGAUCAUGUAAGAACAUGUACGAUCCAUAUGUGGGACCUGCAAGAAAAUAUUCGCG